CUGUGACUCCUACGGGAGGCAGCAGUGGGGAAUAUUGCACAAUGGGCGCAAGCCUGAUGCAGCAACGCCGUGUGAGUGAAGAAGGUUUUCGGAUCGUAAAACUCUGUCCUAAGGGAAGAAACAAAUGACGGUACCUUAGGAGGAAGCCCCGGCUAACUACGUGCCAGCAGCCGCGGUAAUACGUAGGGGGCAAGCGUUAUCCGGAAUCACUGGGCGUAAAGGGUGCGUAGGCGGCUUAGCAAGCCAGGGGUGAAAGGCAUUGGCUCAACCAAUGUAAGCCUUUGGAACUGUUAAGCUUGAGUACAGGAGAGGUAAGUGGAAUUCCUAGUGUAGAGGUGAAAUUCGUAGAUAUUAGGAGGAACACCAGUGGCGAAGGCGACUUACUGGACUGUAACUGACGCUGAUGCACGAAAGCGUGGGUAGCGAACAGGAUUAGAUACCCUGGUAG
rnacentral:rRNA from 1 species